UACGAAGGGGGCUAGCGUUGCUCGGAAUCACUGGCGUAAAGGGUGCGUAGGCGGGUUUUUAAGUCAGAGGUGAAAUCCUGGAGCUCAACUCCAGAACUGCCUUUGAUACUGGGAAUCUUGAGUAUGGAAGAGGUGAGUGGAACUGCGAGUGUAGAGGUGAAAUUCGUAGAUAUUCGCAAGAACACCAGUGGCGAAGGCGGCUCACUGGUCCAUAACUGACGCUGAGGCACGAAAGCGUGGGGAGCAAACAGG
rnacentral:rRNA from 1 species